GGGGUUGUGGCUCAGGGGUAGAGAGCUCACCUAGCAUGUGAGGCUCUGGGAUCAAUCCUCAGCACCACA
rnacentral:tRNA from 1 species